UGCUUCACCGUUGCUUUGAAAAGUGUAUUGCGAGAACUCUCUCUGAACUGCAUGCGCGGCAUACACACACACACGUCCAGCUACAAUAAUGUAUCAUAUUAAUUUGAAACAGCAACCCAGAAGAUUUGUCACAAGCAUUGAUUAAAACAAUGAUGACAAUAAUCACAUGAAAAAAAAACGACUUCAAUUCUGGACCUUUGGCAGUGAGGGGGGGAUCGUUGGAACCACCUGCCUAUGGGCUUGGAGUUUGAUCCAUUCCAUCAGAAGAGAUCAGACUCUUCAGGACUUCUGCUGUGUGUUUGUGUAAACUUUACUAAUAUUUAAAGAUGGAGACUCCUGAUCUGGACACAGAUAAUGUUUCUACACUAUCAAACAACUGUAAACUCAGGAGAAAGAGAUCAGAAUCACCAACACACAGCUGUAUCUCCAUGAAGAGUGAUG